AACGCUGGCGGCGUGCCUAAUACAUGCAAGUCGAACGCAUCCCGUUAAAUGAAGUGCUUGCACGGAUUUUAACAUCGGAUGAGUGGCGAACUGGUGAGUAACACGUGGGUAACCUGCCCAGAAGCAGGGGAUAACACUUGGAAACAGGUGCUAAUACCGUAUAACAACAAAAACCGCAUGGUUUUUGUUUGAAAGGUGGUUUCGGCUAUCACUUCUGGAUGGACCCGCGGCGUAUUAGCUAGUUGGUGGAGUAACGGUUCACCAAGGCAAUGAUACGUAGCCGACCUGAGAGGGUAAUCGGCCACAUUGGGACUGAGACACGGCCCAAACUCCUACGGGAGGCAGCAGUAGGGAAUCUUCCACAAUGGACGAAAGUCUGAUGGAGCAACGCCGCGUGAGUGAAGAAGGUUUUCGGAUCGUAAAACUCUGUUGUUGAAGAAGAACACGUUUGAGAGUAACUGUUCAGACGUUGACGGUAUUCAACCAGAAA
rnacentral:rRNA from 2 species